UACGAAGGGUGCAAGCGUUACUCGGAAUUACUGGGCGUAAAGGGUGCGUAGGUGGUUUGUUAAGUCUGCUGUGAAAUCCCCGGGCUCAACCUGGGAAUGGCAGUGGAUACUGGCAAGCUAGAGUGUGGCAGAGGGGGGUGGAAUUCCGCGUGUAGCAGUGAAAUGCGUAGAGAUGCGGAGGAACACCGAUGGCGAAGGCAGCCCCCUGGGCUAACACUGACGCUCAGGCACGAAAGCGUGGGGAGCAAACAGG
rnacentral:rRNA from 1 species